UUCAUUAGCGGAGUAAUUUGCUGGUGCCCUGUGCAUGGGUGUGACGUCAGAGUCAGUUUGUAUGCUGCGGGAGAUGGUCAGUGAGGAGGUGCGUCACUUCGGUGAAAGUUAUACCUUGCUGUCUAGUAGCCGUGGUUGAGACUGAGGUGCCUACAACAUGCCUUGAGGUUUGGUGCUGUCUUGUUUUGGUGACUGCUUGGAUAGCUUGCUAUGUCUGCGGUUAAUCAGAGCAAUUGAUGGUGCCAAUAACCUCUGCUGUUCGGGACUCUGGCGAAAUGGAGCGUUACGACCCGUCUUGAAACACGGACCAAGGAGUCUAACAUGUGUGCAAGUAUUAGGGCGUGGAAACCCAAAUGCGUAAUGAAAGUAAAUGCUACUUAUGUAGCUUUGGUAGGAAAGGGCUGUAAUGGUUCUGGCACUAUCGACCGAUCAUGAGCCUACGGGCGAAAGAUUUGAGUAUGAGCAUAUAUGUUGGUACCCGAAAGAUGGUGAACUAUG
rnacentral:rRNA from 1 species